ACAAUUACAUGUUCUGAACGAGGAAUUUAGUUUUAUUUUUGUGUGGCUCAACAGUUUUGAGUAAACUCUUCUAUUUAAAUUAUUAUUUUUAAGUUUACUGAGUGACGUAAAGUGACGUCACCUCGUUGCUCUAACCGACGUUCAGAAGAAUCCAUUCAACAUGGCGGAGCCUCGCAAGCGACCGGAGCAAACUUAAUGAAACAACUUGCUGAGCUGGAUGAUGAAUACAAAAGAGUGAGCCUCAACACUUAAGGUUUGUGCUGAGUUUCACCAUAUCAGAGAAAGUGGCACACACCAGCAAGAUUUCACAGAUGUUGCAUGACAUUCUAAAUGUUUGAUCUUCAGUGUACGUGUGUGAGGAGAACUGUUCUUCAGGACAUGAAAUGUAAGUAUUAAGUGCAUUAAUAGAUCUGAAAUAGAGUGGGGGAACUAUGACGUCAGAACCAGGAAGUGUAAUUCGCCGCGGGUUCCUUUGAGAUUUU